rnacentral:misc_RNA from 1 species
UGUGGAGGAGGACGCCGAAGGUGGGGCUAAUGACUGGGGUGAAGUCGUAACAAGGUAGCCGUACCGGAAGGUGCGGCUGGAUCACCUCCUAACAGGGAGACAACAAAAAUGUAAAUAUUAAUUUUGUCACCUUAGGUCGAUCGGUAUCUCAGAUUCUUGAAUUUUCAAGAAUUUUAGUUUCUAAGUUUUUUCUAGGUCACACCCAUCAUUUUUCCUGGGCCAUUAGCUCAGGUGGUUAGAGCGCACCCCUGAUAAGGGUGAGGUCCCUGGUUCAAGUCCAGGAUGGCCCAUAUCUCUAUGUUGGGGGUAUAGCUCAGUUGGUAGAGCGCCUGCUUUGCAAGCAGGGUGUCAGCGGUUCGAGUCCGCUUACCUCCACUGAAUACCACCUCUUACAUAAAGUCAAUGAGGAAAAAUUUGUUGAGUUGUGUCCUUUUUCGCUCUGAGCGAAUCUAGCUUCCUAUUUUUUUCUAAAAUAAAUAAGAUGCUGGAUUCAUUGAAUCUUAUUCAUUGUUUUCAGAGAACCUUGACAACUGCAUAGAUUAUUUAAAGACAAUAAGCAUCUAUAUAAUGAUGCAGAUUUAUUAUUUGUGCUGAUGCAUUAAAUAACAAUUCUAUUAAGCUGAUGCUUCUAUUAUGAAGUUAUUGGUCAAGCUACAA